CGUCUAGCCUGCCGUCCAGGACUGAGGGUGUCCCCAGGACAUGGGACUUCCUUUCAGUGUUAAAACCAGGUAGCUGACAAGUUCUAGGACAAGGCCUGUGGUUUCAUGAGGGCACAGUGGAGCUGGAACCCUGACUCAGCGGGUGCUGCCUCGACAGUGGCUUUGACCCCUCCAUUCCUGCAGCGCCUCGGCUACAAGCCUGUCCUGUAGAGCUGGUUGAGACUUACAUGAGGAAAUGCAGGCCACCACAGAAGUGACAGACACCCACCAGAAGACGGUAGACCAUUUGCUUGAGUGCUGAGGUUGCUGGGGUAUAGAGGUUGAGAGCAAAGGCUGACCCAGCAGAGGGAAAGAACUUUCUGAGCCUUCACUGUAUGGUGUCAGAGAGCGGGACCUCUCAGUCUCUGGGCUCAUUCCCACACCUGCAAGGUUUGGUCCUUACCCACCAUCCAGGCUGCUCUGGGAGCUCCCACGACAGCACAGAGAAAGUGACUGCAUGAGGAGAGGGUCCCCAAAUUGUUUUCCAGGUAUUGGUAUUACAGGCUUGACAAGGAUGUGAAAAAUCAGCCUGUAGCCCAACCCCGCAGGAAAGGAGUCAAGGGAACAAUGGCUCCAGGCUGAUUUCUUGAGAAGAGCAGCCUUUGGGGGACAGUGGAGCCCGGCAAUAGCCCCAGA